rfam:Actinobacteria bacterium OK006 ctg66, whole genome shotgun sequence.
GAAGGUCUUGUGGCCCUUCGGCGUCGCCCUGCGGUGGGAGAUGUCAAACCGCCCCGAGCUGCGUCGGUUGAAGACCGUCGUGGUGAGCGUCCGGGGAAAAGGCGCCGGUCAGGCGUCAGGU